UUUCAGCAAAUUGGAGUAACAGUUUGAAUUCAGCUUUUCUUUGCCAGGCAUUUAUCACAUUAUGGGAAAACAUCCAGGAAGUGCACUUCCAGGAUAUACAAAAACAGUUUUGGAU